rnacentral:rRNA from 1 species
GACGUAGGUGGCGAACGUUAUCCGGAAUCAUUGGGCGUAAAGGGUGCGUAGAUGGCAUGAUAAGUUAUUAGUGGGAAAUCGAGGCUCAACCUCGUGGAAGCUAGUAAUACUGUUUUGCUUGAGUACAGAAGAGGUUAACGGAACUCCAUGUGGAGCGGUAAAAUGCGUAGAUAUACGGAAGAACACCAAUAACGGCGAAGGCAGUUAACUAUUCUGUUACUGACAUUGAGGCACGAAAGCGUGGGGAGCAAAACGG